CUCCUCUUCCUCCUCCUGCAGCCGCCGCCCGGCGCCGCCAUGCCCGGCCCGGCCGCCGGCAGCCGGGCGCGGGUGUACGCGGAGGUGAACAGCCUGAGGAGCCGCGAGUACUGGGACUACGAGUCGCACGUCCCGAGCUGGGGCAAUCAGGACGACUACCAGCUGGUUCGAAAGCUCGGCCGAGGGAAGUACAGCGAGGUCUUUGAGGCCAUCAACAUCACCAACAACGAGAGGGUCGUCGUGAAGAUCCUCAAGCCAGUGAAGAAAAAGAAGAUAAAACGCGAGGUUAAGAUUCUGGAGAAUCUACGUGGUGGCACCAACAUCAUUAAUCUGAUUGACACUGUCAAGGAUCCGGUGUCAAAGACCCCUGCUCUGGUGUUUGAGUACAUCAAUAACACAGAUUUUAAGCAACUGUACCAGAUCCUGACAGACUUUGAUAUUCGGUUUUAUAUGUAUGAGCUGCUUAAGGCCCUGGAUUACUGUCACAGCAUGGGAAUCAUGCACAGGGAUGUCAAACCCCACAACGUCAUGAUAGACCACCAACAGAAAAAGCUGCGGCUCAUAGACUGGGGUCUGGCCGAAUUCUACCAUCCAGCUCAGGAAUACAAUGUCCGUGUGGCCUCUAGGUACUUCAAAGGACCAGAGCUCCUUGUGGACUACCAAAUGUAUGACUACAGCUUAGACAUGUGGAGUUUAGGCUGUAUGCUGGCAAGCAUGAUCUUCCGAAAGGAGCCCUUCUUCCACGGCCAGGACAAUUAUGACCAACUGGUUCGCAUUGCAAAGGUCCUGGGCACAGAUGAGCUGUAUGGGUAUCUCAAGAAGUACCACAUAGAACUGGACCCGCACUUCAACGACAUCCUGGGCCAGCAUUCCCGGAAGCGCUGGGAGAACUUCAUCCACAGUGAGAACAGACACCUGGUCAGUCCUGAAGUCCUUGACCUCCUGGACAAGCUGCUGCGAUAUGACCAUCAACAGAGGCUGACUGCCAAGGAGGCGAUGGAUCACCCCUAUUUCUAUCCAGUGGUGAAGGAGCAGUCCCAGCCCAGCUCAGAAAACGCUGUGCUCUCCAGUGGCAUGACAACAGCACGAUGAGGACUGGAAAACGACGGGUCCGAUGCUGUUGCUCCCAAUUUUCCAUAAGCAGAAUGAGAACCAAAUCAAACGUCCUAUCGGCACGGUAGAGCGACGGCAGGCGGACUGCGCAGCGCGGGCAGGGCUCAGAGUGGGGCACGCGCCUGGCUGGACAGCACUCGCCUCGCUAUGACCGCAGCCCUUCCCUCCGAGUGUUAAAGGUUCUCCUGCCUCCGUUUCCUUGUUGAGCUCUUCCUGACCCAGAAAGCGUGGAAAUGUGAAGGGUGUGCAAAGCAGUUGUUGUUUUCCCUUACACUGAAGCUGCCCAGGGGAAAGGGUACCUCUGAGACAAGGCUCUUGCCUGGGAAAGAGAGACCUGUUGCUGGUUCCCAGGGAGGGGAGCUCAGCCAUAGGCUCCUGCCAGCACAGAACCACUCAGCGCUGCUCUCACCCAGCCCUGGGCACUGGCCAAAGUGGAAUUGCAGGAGUGAGUCCUCGCACAAAGCCUGUAAUGGGUACAGGUGGAAGCCAACACUAUCCUGCACAUGGAGAUUUGCUGAUGUGGGCCCAGAUGUGGACGUGGGCAUCAGGUGUAGCUCUGGCCAGCGGUGAGAGCAGGGAAGAGCCCAUGGCAGAGCCCACCCGAGGCCCACGCUGGGCAGAAGCAGUGCUGUGAGCAUGUGCUGAGCUGAGGUCCCUGCAGCACGGUGGCACAUCCAAGCACUGUUGCUGUUUGGAUCCAUCCAUCUCCUGAUGUGGUUGGAUCAUGUUCCCCAUUGCCACCUGCUGCCUGCUGCAGCCCAUGUCCUCUCCAAGUCCACAGCUUGUCUCCAGAGAAUGCUCUCAGUGGCUCUUUUAACUGUUGUUUAUCAGAAAUAAACUCUUCUUUGCCUACCCUUUUUUGUCUCCAGUUUGUCUGGAGUCAAAAAGGUUUUGCUCAUUCUGGCUGCUUCAUCCAUUGCACAGGUGUCCCACCAAGGCAGUGCGUCCUCCUUCCGUGAUUUUCUCUGCCAGCUUGCUCCAGGACAUGGUGGCACUGCCUCCUUCUGCACCCACUGAUGUUUACACCUUUGUUCUCUUCUGAUCCCUUCCUCAGCAGCAGCCCAGCUUCCUCCUCUUCUUCUUCCUCCUUCUGCACUGCUCAGAGUUCAGCCAGCGUGAGGUCCAAAGCCUUUGGGUUGCCUCAGCACCCAAAGCCACUUUUGAGCCUUGCCUCCCCCUGCAUGUGGUGGAUAUGGAUCUCCUGCCCAAUUUUCUUUUUGGUUUUCCCAUUACAGCUAUCCUUCAUCCAGUACUGCUCCUGUAGGAAAAUCCAGGCUGGAAGAGUUGGCUGGAGUCAUCAGGACAAAUCCCAGGAUCUCACACUCCUUGUGGGAGUCAUUACUUUGUUCUUGGUUUUGCCAUGUAGUGAAGGCUUUUGGCUCACAGAAGAACUGACUGAAUCUGGUGCUGGCUUUAUUGGUCCAAGUGCUGUCCUUGGAGCUGGUCCAGCCCUGGGCAUCUGCUUUCCAGCCUCAGUCAAGAGGGCAAUGGCCUGGGUUAGGAUUUCCCAGGCCAUGAACCUGGACCAUGUGCUCCAAGGCAAGCACAGACUUGGUGAUACUGGAGCAACCUGCUACAUUUUGGUCUCAUAAUUGCACCCAGCAAUGUGACACUACAGAGGAGUAACGUUUCAGAAGCUUCCUGAAAAUCUCAUUCCUCUGAAGGCAUUGGAUUGCUGAGAAUUCUGAAGGGAAGGAAAUGCUUUAGUGGACAGUUAUUUCUGGAGCAAGCAACCUUUGCUCACUUCUUGGGCCAGGUUAUUUUCUUAGCAUGGGCCUUUUCCUCCAUCUGCUCCCCCAAAUUCAAUCCCUCUACACCCUGGGAAUUGGAAGCGGGGGUGAGGUAACAUGCCAACAUCUUCCUAGCAACCUUCCAGGUGGAUAACAUCAGUCUGUGAGUCUCUAAAAUACAUCUGAGACCUCUUCCCAAAUGCCUGCCUCGAUUAUUAAUAUGGGUUAAUGAUUUACAGGGCUCUCUGUGUCUGCCCUCUCCUCUAGCCCACACAUGCCUGGGGAAGGAGGAGGGGCAACUACAUUUUGUCAAAAUUAAUUGAGAAAUAGGGACAAUUUGAAACCACAGCCUAUUUCAGUGUGCAGCAAAACAUGGUAUUAAAGUGGUAAGUGGAGAGUGUGUGAAUGAGCCGGCUGUUCAGGAAUGGCAGCUGGAUAUUUGUCCCAGUUGUCUCCUACCAUCUGAUUAAGGGAACAAGUUAUUUCAUCAUGCCAUAUAAAGUGUACUCUAACCCACUGACUAAAUAUAGCUGAUCAUUUCUAACUAA